rnacentral:lncRNA from 1 species
AAACGCUCCGCCUCGACAGCGGAAGCGCACAAGAAUAACAGAGUGAAGAGACAACCUUUUCUGAGGCAGUUGACUCAUGGAUUUGCAAAUAAAGGGAAAACAUAAUCGAUUACCACGGGAAUGUCAUCAUCGGCAGUAUUAGUGUAUUGGUGCUGGACACUCCGUGCAGACUUGCACAAACACACAACUCACGCAGCAGCUCACCACUGGACAUUUGAACUUGGGGAAGAAGGACUGGGGUAUAGUUGAGCAGUCUCGUACGCUCCGCGAACUAAUCAUCGCAGAGGGAAUAUGUGUUGAAAAAAUAAUUGAGGUCGCCGUCGAGCUGGCUACGCAAAAGCGGGACAUGAAAGGGGGCAGAAAUAAUAAAACCUUAGAUUAAUCAAUCAAGAACAAAGCCAACACAACUGUAUAUUUUGCCUUUGUAACGAAACUGCAGCAAUAGGUUGCCGGAGACUUCAUGGUGGUGAUGGGUAAAACAGGUCCGUUUAAUGGUCGCCGUCCCCACAAUAUGAAGCCUGUCCAUACAGUUUCCCUUGUUUGACGUUGUUACAGUGUUGUCAUACGACUACGGAAAGCUUGCUUAUGAGCAUGUAUGACUUCAGAGAUAUAACGAACUGUCAAUUCUGCUUGCCAAUGUUCUCAUGCGACCGAAGUGGUCCAACAGCUUCCCAUCGAGCUUUCUUCAGCGAUAGCGUACAGAAUCUGUUACUGAC